rnacentral:rRNA from 1 species
AUUGAACGCUGGCGGCAGGCCUAACACAUGCAAGUCGAGCGAGCGGCGGACGGUUUAGUAAUGUCUUGGAAACUGCCUGAUGGAGGGGGAUAACUACUGGAAACGGUAGCUAAUACCGCAUACCAUCAGAUGUGCCCAGAUGGGAUUAGCUAGUAGGUGGGGUAAUGGCUCACCUAGGCGACGAUCCCUAGCUGGUCUGAGAGGAUGACCAGCCACACUGGAACUGAGACAUGGUCCAGACGCCUACGGGAGGCAGCAGUGGGGAAUAUUGCACAAUGGGCGCAAGCCUGAUGCAGCCAUGCCGCGUGUGUGAAGAAGGCCUUAGGGUUGUAAAGUACUUUCAGCGGGGAGGCGUUACCCGCAGAAGAAGCACCGGCUAACUCCGUGCCAGCAGCCGCGGUAAUAC